rnacentral:rRNA from 1 species
UACGAAGGGGGCUAGCGUUGUUCGGAAUUACUGGGCGUAAAGCGCACGUAGGCGGAUAUUUAAGUCAGGGGUGAAAUCCUGGAGCUCAACUCCAGAACUGCCUUUGAUACUGAGGAUCUUGAGUUCGGGAGAGGUGAGUGGAACUGCGAGUGUAGAGGUGAAAUUCGUAGAUAUUCGCAAGAACACCAGUGGCGAAGGCGGCUCACUGGCCCGAUACUGACGCUGAGGCACGAAAGCGUGGGGAGCAAAGCAG